UACGUAGGGGGGCGAGCGUUUGUCCGGAUUUAUUGGGCGUAAAGAGCGUGUAGGCGGCCAGGUAGGUCUGCUGUGAAAACUCGAGGCUCAACCUCGAGACGUCGGCGGAAACCAUCUGGCUAGAGUCCGGAAGAGGAGAGUGGAAUUCCUGGUGUAGCGGUGAAAUGCGCAGAUAUCAGGAAGAACACCCGUGGCGAAGGCGGCUCUCUGGGACGGUACUGACGCUGAGACGCGAAAGCGUGGGGAGCGAACAGG
rnacentral:rRNA from 1 species